rnacentral:sRNA from 1 species
UAUGAGCGUCCGUUUUUGACCGAUCGCUGCCAGUCGCCACCGGCAGCGAUCGGCCAGAAGCGGACGGCUCCCGAAAAAAACAUCAUUGAAAGCAAUUUGCUACUAU